CCGGAACAUGUUCAAAUUGCUCAAAUUAAGCCCUGUUUAUAUCCCUCCUACCUGUCUCUUAGGAGGUGUUGAGCCCAUUGCAGAGGUGGCUGGUGACGGGGAGGAGCUGGAACUUCCACCGGAAGUGACCAAGUUCAUCAGGAAGAAACAUGCAUCUAAGAAAGUCAAGAAAGAUAAAGACAGCGUGAAAGAAGAAGCAGGAGGUGCAGAGGAGCCCGUCAAGGAGGCCAAGAAGGAGAAGAAGGAGUCAUCCAAGGAGAAGAAGGAGUCGAAGAAGGAUUCAAGCAAAGAGCCCAAGGAGGAGGCCAAGAAGGAGUCCAAGAAGGAAUCGUCCUCCUCCAAGGAGAAGAAGGAGUCGUCAAAGGAGAAGAAGGAGAAGGACAAAGACAAGGAAGGGAAGGAGUCAGGGGACAAGAAAGUCUCCAGGAAGUCGUCUGUAAAAGUGAAAGAGAAGAAGAAGGAGCCAGAGGCUGGAGAGGGCUGACGAGAGCAGUGCGAUAAACUCACGUGAUAUGCACACACACAACACACAUAUUUACAUACAUAAACACAAGAUACAUGUCUAAACAGCAGGCACAUAUACACACACCAGGGGCUCACACAUAUAAACAUACAUACAUGGAUAUACAGCGAACGUGUAAACAUAUACAAGGUCACAGAACUCGACACACACACACACACACACACACACACACACACACACACACACAUUCACAUAUGCAGUCCUAAUACAUGUAAAUAUUCUCCGUCAAGCUACAUAUACAGUCGCAGUAGCAAAGCAAUCCUCUCAGAUGCAUAUUUACAUCGUCCAGUAAUAGCUGACACACACACACACACACACACACACACACAUACAGUUUCUGUGUGUCUGGGCUGCUGCUGCUGAACCACACCACAUCCACUAGUUGUGGUGUGUGUGCGCUGGGCAACUGUGGUGUGGUCUGAGCCUGAGGAGAGCGAGGAUGAAGGCUACAAUCCUCCUCCUCUGCUCAGACAUUUUGCUGACUCUCUCCUUCCUACUCCAUCCUCCUCCACGCCUUCGUCGUCUAGCCUCAGCAGCAGUUGAACCCACAGCCCUGCGCCUCCCUAAUCCCACUCAGACCCCAAACCAUCCCUCUCAGCCCACGCAGACUUCUGGAUGUGACGUCAGACCCGCCCUCUUGCCCCCCUCCGGUGGCACUAGGCCUCGCCAGAGCCUCCCCCGCCUCGCCGCUAAGAAUAAAUGGCCUGCUCGUCCAGCAGCCCCGCUGCUUCCGGGUAAAUCAAGGCCACAUCCUACAGCCGCCGCCACCACCGCCGCCACCACCACCACCACCACCCCCUCUGACCUCUUCCAGUCAGUUUAGUUUUUUUUUAAAUCUGGGACACUCAAGGACACGCGGCUACUGAUGGACGCAUACUCGGUGCUGCGGGGUCGAACCUGAGACUGUUUUUGUACGGUGGAAACCAACAGGGCGUUUUCUGGAAAAAAAGCAGUGUGGCAAUCAGAAGCAGAGAAGAGCCUGCAGGGCCAGCUUAACACCAAAGGCUUUUUCUGCUCAUCUUCAAGAACAUGGGGGGAGGCUAGAUAUUAAAUACACUCCAAGGCACUUGUGUCGUCUGUAACAUCAGCAGCUUAUUUAACAAGUGACCUACGAUCCAGUUGGAUGUGGUAGCGUAGGAUGACCAUUACUAGUGCCAGGAAUAACAGCAAAUUCUUUUUUUUUCUUUUUCAGCAGCAAAUAAACAUAGGUUUACUGUAGGUGAACAGAGUGCACAGGGUAUUUAUUUGGUACCACAGGGUACCAAAUAAGUAAAAGUUAUAGUUUAAACAAUAGUUAAAAUAUCAGUUCACUCAAAUUGAAACAAAGCAACAUAUUUUCUCAUUUUUAGUGGUAUCAAGCCAUGCAGACAGAUACUUGUUGUUUUGGUUUGUGCAUGUUCUGAGUAAAGUAUCAAUUAUUGAAAACUAUCUUUCUAUCUUUCUAUAUAUAUAAAGUUGGCAUCAAAUGACUGGUCAGACAACUAGUCCUAGUUAUUCUUUACUCAGUUAUUUACUGAUCUAAUUUGACAACAUUUCAAAUUUGAGAAGAAGUUAACCCUUGUGUUGUCUGUUCUAAAUGUCUAUAUCAGAAAUAUGGGUUUCUUUGUUACUACCUAAUUGUAAUUACCCAAAAAUAACACGGAUGAUUCCAUACAACGCUUCACAAGUACGACAAAAGAUCGGAUCUCUACUUUCAGUGAAUUUUGGGUGUUUUAUUCAAUUUUUUAGCAUUUGAAAAAAGAAAUUGAAAUGUUUCGAAACAGUAUCCUGACUGACCGUUGACAUGCACCCUUCUGUGAUAAUCCUAUCUUUAUUAUUAGUCUGAAUAAUUCAUAAUGUUUUGCUUUUUUAUCUCAAGGAUUAGGUAUAUUUUCCUAUAAAUAAGGUUUAUUGACCAUGAAUUGCAAAAAUGAGUGUAAAACUUGUAAUAAGUUGGUGUUCAUACAUUGCAGUGAAAAGAAGCGUUAGUCGUCAAAAAAAGCGCAAAAAGUGUGGACGGAAACGUCUUUUUGACCUGGGAGGACGACAAGCAUGGUCCAAUGGAAGACAACACAAGGGUUAAGAAAGACUUCAAAAGGGUUUAGGGAAAAAAACAAACCUGUUUUCAUGAGUUUUGAAAUUAGUAUUGUAUUGUCUAAAAUGUCCAACAAAAAAGACCCAGCUUUGUUUUGAGAGAUCCAUCGCUGAGGUUUCUGCAUCCUCUCCAAUACAACUCCGGUGAAUCAACUUUGGUUUGUGGAGUUGACAACACUGAACAUUUUUAAUUUAAAAAGUGCAACAGCAUCAUGUCUUUCCAGAACCUCCAUCCACCCUGUAAACAGACGUGUCACCAACUAUCUUUUACUGUAGAACGCAGUUCCAGUUAAAACUUUGUUCGGUGGAUUAUCCAAUUUAAGUUUUUGGAAAGACAAGCUGCUACUGAGUUCAACUGUAACUGUGUUGUACCAUUGGGGUGGAUGCAGAAAUCUAAGAGACACAUCUUCUAAAACCUGUGCUAAUCGAAAUCACUAGAGAGAAGAGAGAUAGGUAUAAAGAAUAUUGAUUGAUAAGGUAUAAAGA
ensembl:lncRNA